rnacentral:lncRNA from 1 species
UGACUUGAUGAUAGUUGCCAGGUUGGUAUAGUUUGUGUGGAUUUAUCUGGUAAAUAGGAGACAAUUGCUUAUGAUUUAUUGUAAAUAUUGUCAUUGAUGAAAAAAAUAUUGUUUUGAAAUUGCAAUUUAGAAGUUUCUUCUGUCAGGGAUUGCCUCUAUAUAGGAAUUUAUGUUAGAGAAUCUCAUAAGGGCCCUAAAUGGUCCAAUUGAAUUUGUGAAUCUCAUAUAUUGUUGCUACUGGUAAAAUGAACUUGUGAAUCUAAUUUGAUCAAUGCUUACUUUUUUGUUUUUGUCCUUGUUAAUUGCAUGAUAAAGGUUAUAAAUUUGUUGGGUGGUGUAGAAAAUGCUUGAACUGUGAAUGAACAUUAACGAUUUUUUAGUUGAAAUGGAAUCAUUAUCUUGUUAGAUUUAUUUGCAAGGAAUCUUUUUUUUUGUUUGAAGUAAAAAUGAAUAAUGGGUUUUGUGUUUCUAGCUUCAAUUUAGGAGUAAAGUUUGUUUCUUUUUUGUUUUUCUGUGUUAUGCUUCAAUUUUUCUUGUUUGCGCUUUGAGCUGACUCGAUAGUGGUCAGAUUGGUAUAGUUUGUAUGGAUUUAUGUGGUAAAUAGGAAAAAUUGCUUAUGAUUUUGAUAAAUAUGGUCAUUGAUGAAAAAAUAUUGUUUUGAAAUUGCAACUUAAAAGUUUCUUCUGUUAGGGAUUGUUUGUAUGUUGGAAUUUAUGUUAAGAGAAUCUCAUAUGCGAUUUGAUGAUUCAAUUGU